GGCCGCGUAGCUCAGAUGGUAGAGCAUUCCCAUGGUAAGGGAAAGGCCUCCGGUGCAAGUCCGGUCGUAGGCU
rnacentral:tRNA from 1 species